ACGCUGGCGGCACGCCUAACACAUGCAAGUCGAACGCAGUAGCAAUACUGAGUGGCGAACGGGUGAGUAUAAUGUGGGUAUCUGCCUUUUGGUUUGGAAUAACACGGGGAAACUUGUGCUAAUACCGGAUAAGCCUUCACAGGGAAAGUUUUAACGCCAAAAGAUGAGCCCGCACUUGAUUAGCUAGUUGGUAGGGUAAUGGCCUACCAAGACUAUGAUCAAUAGCUGAUUUGAGAGGAUGAUCAGCCACAUUGGGACUGAGACACGGCCCAAACUCCUACGGGAGGCAGCAGUGGGGAAUCUUGCACAAUGGAGGAAACUCUGAUGCAGCGAUGCCGCGUGAGUGAAGAAGGCCUUUGGGUUGUAAAGCUCUUUCGUCGGGGAAGAAAAUGACUGUACCCGAAUAAGAAGGUCCGGCUAACUUCGUGCCAGCAGCCGCGGUAAUACGAAGGGACCUAGCGUAGUUCGGAAUUACUGGGCUUAAAGAGUUCGUAGGUGGUUGAAAAAGUUGGUGGUGAAAUCCCAGAGCUUAACUCUGGAACUGCCAUCAAAACUUUUCAGCUAGAGUAUGAUAGAGGAAAGCAGAAUUUCUAGUGUAGAGGUGAAAUUCGUAGAUAUUAGAAAGAAUACCAAUUGCGAAGGCAGCUUUCUGGAUCAUUACUGACACUGAGGAACGAAAGCAUGGGUAGCGAAGAGGAUUAGAUACCCUCGUAGUCCAUGCCGUAAACGAUGUGUGUUAGACGUUGGAAAUUUAUUUUCAGUGUCGCAGGGAAACCGAUAAACACACCGCCUGGGGAGUACGACCGCAAGGUUAAAACUCAAAUGAAUUGACGGGGACCCGCACAAGUAGUGGAGCAUGUGGUUUAAUUCGAAGAUACGCGCAGAACCUUACCAACACUUGACAUGUUCGUCGCGACUCUAAGAGAUUAGAGUUUUCGGUUCGGCCGGACGAAACACAGGUGCUGCAUGGCUGUCGUCAGCUCGUGUCGUGAGAUGUUGGGUUAAGUCCCGCAACGAGCGCAACCCUCACUUUUAGUUGCCAUCAUUAAGUUGGGCACUCUGAAAGAACUGCCAGUGAUAAGCUGGAGGAAGGUGGGGAUGACGUCAAGUCCUCAUGGCCCUUACGUGUUGGGCUACACACGUGCUACAAUGGCAUCUACAACAGGAAGCAAAACGGCAACGUUAAGCAAAUCCCGAAAAGAUGCCUCAGUUCGGAUUGCACUCUGCAACUCGAGUGCAUGAAGCUGGAAUUACUAGUAAUCGUGGAUCAGCGUGCCACGGUGAAUGCGUUCCCGGGUCUUGUACACACCGC
rnacentral:rRNA from 1 species